rnacentral:rRNA from 1 species
GGCUACUACAUCCAAGGAAGGCAGCAGGCGCGCAAAUUACCCAAUCCCGACGCGGGGAGGUAGUGACAAUAAAUACUGAUACAGGGCUCUUUUGGGUCUUGUAAUUGGAAUGAGUACAAUUUAAUUCCCUUAACGAGGAACAAUUGGAGGGCAAGUCUGGUGCCAGCAGCCGCGGUAAUUCCAGCUCCAAUAGCGUAUAUUAAAGUUGUUGCAGUUAAAAAGCUCGUAGUUGAACCUUGGGCCUGGCUGGCGGUCCGCCUCACCGCGUGCACUGGUCCGGCCGGGCCUUUCCCUCUGGGGAGCCGCAUGUCCUUCACUGGGCGUGUCGGGGAACCAGGACUUUUACUUUGAAAAAAUUAGAGUGUUCAAAGCAGGCUUAUGCUCGAAUACAUUAGCAUGGAAUAAUAGAAUAGGACGUGUGGUUCUAUUUUGUUGGUUUCUAGGACCGCCGUAAUGAUUAAUAGGGACAGUCGGGGGCAUCAGU